GCUCUGAAGGCUAACCAGAAAAGCGUCUGGUCUUGUAAACCAGAAGAGAAGGUUAAAGCCCUUCUCAGGGCU
rnacentral:tRNA from 1 species